GUCCUCAUAGUAUCAGACAGACGGUCAACCAAAGGUGAAGCGUGGAUGUUGGAUUCGGCUUGCUCUUUUCAUGCGACACCCAACAGGGAGUGGUUCUCUUCGUACAAGUCUGGUGAGUUUGGUUUAGCCUAUGUGAGCGAUGACACAGGUUAUCGUGUUGCUGGAGUAGGUGACAUCAAAAUCAAGAUGUUUGACGGAGUUGAGCGGAUGCUUCGAGGAGUCAGGCAUGUGCCGGGCCUAAAGAGAAAUCUAAUUUCACUUGGUGUUCUUCAUGAUGGUGGUAUGGUAUUCUGUUGUGAUCGGGAUAGGAAGAACAUGAGAAUCAUAGAAGAUAAGGUGACUGUGAUGAUUGGAACGAGGACGGCUUCGCAUCUUUACAAGCUGCAAGGGAGCACUAUUGCAGGUGGAGUCACGAAGACUGGA
rnacentral:rRNA from 1 species